AUCUAAUACUGAAAAAAAAAAAAAUUAAAUUCUAAAUUACUCAAUCAUAAAUUAAGUAAUUCUUAUUCUCAAUUCUUUCACUUACCGAAUCAGUCUUCCAGAUGUUCAAAAACAAGAAAUACAAUAUGCCAACUUUCGAAUGGAACACUUUUUCCCAUUAAACUCUGAAAUAAUACUUCCAUAUGUAAAAUCUUCAAGGAAGUAUCCGAGUAUAGAACUCACUGCUGGAAAUGACAAACUUCAAAAUUUCAUUUCUGACAUCAAAAUUUUGUAUUUGAUGGCAAAAAACGAAGACAACUAUUCCAUCAAUAAGUCAUAUCAUUGGAUCUUAAUGCAGAGAGAGUCCUAGCAUUAUCAAUCAGUCUGACAAAAGUUUUAAAUAUUUCGAAGAAUGUUUUAUCGA
rnacentral:lncRNA from 1 species